rnacentral:rRNA from 1 species
CCCGGUGUAGCGGUGGAAUGCGUAGAUAUCGGGAGGAACACCAGUGGCGAAGGCGGCCUACUGGGCACCAACUGACGCUGAGGCUCGAAAGUGUGGGUAGCAAACAGGAUUAGAUACCCUGGUAGUCCACACCGUAAACGAUGAUUACUAGGUGUUGGAGGAUUGACCCCUUCAGUGCCGCAGUUAACACAAUAAGUAAUCCACCUGGGGAGUACGACCGCAAGGUUGAAACUCAAAGGAAUUGACGGGGGCCCGCACAAGCAGUGGAGUAUGUGGUUUAAUUCGACGCAACGCGAAGAACCUUACCAAGUCUUGACAUCCCUUGACAGGCAUAGAAAUAUGUUUUCUCUUCGGAGCAAGGAGACAGGUGGUGCAUGGUUGUCGUCAGCUCGUGUCGUGAGAUGUUGGGUUAAGUCCCGCAACGAGCGCAACCCUUAUGGUCAGUUACUACGCAAGAGGACUCUGGCCAGACUGCCGUUGACAAAACGGAGGAAGGUGGGGAUGACGUCAAAUCAUCAUGCCCUUUAUGACUUGGGCUACACACGUACUACAAUGGCGUUAAACAAAGAGAAGCAAGACCGCGAGGUGGAGCAAAACUCAGAAACAACGUCCCAGUUCGGACUGCAGGCUGCAACUCGCCUGCACGAAGUCGGAAUUGCUAGUAAUCGUGGAUCAGCAUGCCACGGUGAAUACGUUCCCGGGCCUUGUACACACCGCCCGUCACACCAUGAGAGCCGGGGGGACCCGAAGUCGGUAGUCUAACCGCAAGGAGGACGCCGCCG